rfam:Xenopus tropicalis strain Nigerian Chr05_contig_367, whole genome shotgun sequence.
GGGGAUGUAGCUCAGUGGUAGAGCGCAUGCUUCGCAUAUAUGAGGCCCCGGGUUCAAUCCCCGGCAUCUCCA